CCCGAGCCAGGAUGUGGUCGCCCGCCCUCGUGCUCAUCCUGCUCAUUCCAGGAUCUUCUGCCGAUGAUUUUCUGAGGCAGACGGACAGAUUCAAGGCCGUCUCUCUUGGCGGGACGGUGACCAUCGGUGCCACAGGGAGUUCAAAUAUCGGUGGCGAUCUCAGUUGGUACCAAGUGAAACCCGGGCAGGCUCCCAAACUGCUCAUCUACCAAGUAUCCAGUCGGUACUCUGGCACGCCAUCUCGAUUCAGCGGCGCACGAUCUGGCUCGGACUACACCCUGACCAUCAAUGGUGUCCAGGCAGAAGACGUGGCCGAGUACUACUGCCUCGGGUAUCACGGCAGCGGAAGGUACACACGGUGAUUCGGAGGCGUACAAAAACCUCCUUCAACUUUGAGAGAAGUGAAAGUGGCCUGCAGAAGGUGCCAAGCGGAAAGUAGACGACACGCUGAAGGAUGAGCACGACUGCUCGUCGAGCCAAUGAAUCACUCAAGACGACUCCCAACGCUAUUUAUAUUAUUAUUAUUUUCAGUAUUUGUAUUUUUUCACAGGGAGAAAAUAUGCAUGUAUCUAUGAAGUGAUGAAUAGCUUUUUUAAACUUACAUCAUGGAUGAAUUCAAAAUACAUAAUAAGCUACAUUUAUGUCACAAUGAAUGUGUUAAAUUCACAAAAGCUACAACUUUACAGUCCAUUAAUUCUGUAUUUUUUAUGUAUUUAUUUUUAUUUAGAUAUUUCUAUUUUGCCAUUUGAUUUUUCUUGACUCAAGUGUUAAACUAUGUAUACAAUUCUACAUGUCAUUUUAUUUAUUUUAUAAUUUAAUAUUGAGUGCAAACUGGUUUAUUCCACAAUAUAUGUAAAUAUGAAUCAAAUCUAUGGAUUUGUCAUUAUUUUAUAUUUAAUUACUUUUUGGCGAACACUUUUUGA